CUUUAGAGUACAGUGCAGUAAUGAACAGAGAAACAAAGAGAAGGUUUUAUGAAGGAGAGACCUUCUAAGGAAAUCAAUAACACUCUGUUUCGUGGAGAUAUGUGUUUGCCUCGACAAGAAGUACACAAAACAGUAGGACCCUCUUUGGGAAUCUUUUUCUCCGACACUGAGAAGCACCCUUCACAUUUUGAAAGGUUGGCAGGACAGAAAAUGGUCCAAUUCACGCACUUCUCAAGAGAACAUCCCUGGUCAUCCCUACUGCCUCUGAUCUGGAGGACUCACUAAACAGAGAACAUCCCUGGUCAUCCCUACUGCCUCGGAUCUGGUGGACUCACUAAACAGAGAACAUCCCUGGUCAUCCCUACUGUCUCUGAUCUGGAGGACUCACUAAACAGAGAACAUCCCUGGUCAUCCCUACUGCCUCUGAUCUGGAGGAUUCACUAAACAGAGAACAUCCCUGGUCAUCCCUACUGCCUCUGAUCUGGAGGACUCACUAAACAGAGAACAUACCUGGUCAUCCCUACUGCCUCUGAUCUGGAGGACUCACUAAACACAAAUGCUUUGUUUGUGAAUGAUGUCUGAGUGUUGGAAUGUGAAUACGUAAAAAAACAAGAGAAUUGUGCCGUCUUGUUUGCUUAAUAUAAGGAAUUUGAUACUGUUAUUCAUACUUUUAAUUUAAGUAUAUUUUAGAACAUAGGCAGACAGCUGUAGAGCAUAACAGAUCAAAACAUAGCCACAUACAAUAUCUAUACAAAAGUAUUUGGACACCCCUUCAAAUUAGUGGAUUUGGCUAUUUCAGGUUAAACCCGUUGCUGACAGGCCAAUGAAAUUGAGCACACAGCCAUGCAAUCUCCACAGACAAACAUUGGCAGUAGAAUGGCCUUGCUGAAGAGCUCAGUGACUUUCAACGUGGCACUGUCAAAGGAUGCCACCUUUCUAACAAGUCAGUUUGUCAAAUAUCUGCCCUGUUAGAACUGCACUGGUCAAUUGUAAGUGCUGUUAUUGUGAAGUGGAAUUGUAUAGGAACAACAACGGCUCAGCCACAAAGUCGUAGGCCACACAGUGCCAAGUGUUGAAGCGAGUAACAUGUAAAAAUCGUCUGUCCCCGGUUGCAACACUCACUACCGAACUGCCUCUGGAAGCAACGUCAGCACAAGAACUGUUUGUGAAAUGAAUUUCCAUGGAGAAGCAACCGUACACAAGCCUCAGAUCACCAUGCGCAAUGCCAAGCGGGAGUAGCGUGAAGCUUGCUGGUUUUAGACUCUGGAGCAGUGGAAACGCGUUCUCUGGAGUGAUAAAUCAGGCUUCACCAUCUGGCAGUGCGAUGGAAAAUUCUGGGUUUGGCGGAUGCCAGGAGAACACUACUUGCCCCAGUGCAUAGUGCCAACUGUAAAGUUUGGUGGAGAAGGAAUAAUUGUGUGGGGUUGUUUUUCAGGGUUCGGGCCAGGCCCCUUAGUUCCAGUGAAGGGAAAUCUUAACGCUACAGCAUACAAUGACUUCUGUGCUUCUAACUUUGUGGCAACAGCUUGGGGAAGGCCGUUUCCUGUUUAAGUAUGACAAUGCCCCCAUGCACAAAGCAAGGUCAAUACAGACAUUUUUGGUCGAGAUCGGUGUGGAAUAGCUUGACUGGCCUGCAGAGAGCCCUAACCCCAUCGAACACCUUUGGGAUG
rnacentral:lncRNA from 1 species